UGGAUAACAGGAAAACAAUUCUUAUAGAAGUACCGUUUGCAUAUAGUACAUUAACGUUAAAGUAAUUUUCCCAGAUGUUUUAAAAAUCCAUAAAAUAAUAAGAGACCACAUUAAAUAUGGAACUUUAUUUGAAACACUUGAAAUAAACAGCAACAGGAUUGAUAUAUCAGUAUCCAUUAUGGAGAGCUAUAUAUAAUAUAUCAGUGGGUAGUUUAAAAUAUGAAACGGAUGCCUAUAAUACAGUCUCAAUUGUUGACACUUCAGCUCUGAUAUCUGCAAUAUGAGCUCCAGCAUUGUACCAAACCCAGAAGGAGAAGAAGAAAGACAUGAAGCCGAGAGAGUGGCUUGUUAAAAAGGAGCUAAACUGAAGGAGUCUCCCAGGAAUAUGCCUGCGCAAAGAGAUUUCAAGACACAAUAUACACCACGUGGGAUGGAAAUAGUGUGAGGAAGCGAAUGUGAGCUUUGAGAACAUGAGUCAUUCUUUUAAGGACAUACUUCUUACCCUGACUUGGACUCUGGAAAGAAAAUCUUAUGGAAUAUCCCUAAACUGUGCACUGCAAGCUGAAAGUUAAUUGAUAGCCUACCUUUAGAUCUUGGCUUCAUGUUUAUCAGCUUAUUCUGCAGUACCAUAUGCCAAUGCCCUUUUCUCCUUGGAAGUAAUUACAACACUUAAAACAUCAACCAGGCCACAGGCUUUAACGUGCAGUUACUUCAUUCAUGUUAGUAAUCAGCAUAUGUUGCCGUAAACUAAAUCAAUCUGCCAAUCAAAGCCUUGCUAUCAAACUGGUCUUGACAGGUUCUGCUUCGCCUCUUUCUGACAAUCUGAGGGUUUCUACUGCAUUUAACAACGUAUCAGCACCACCGUAUGUCAAAUGAAAAACAGAUGCUGAAUUCACAUGACUAAUGAGUUAUCGUGACCUCAUAUAACCUCAUAAGUAGGGACUUAUCCAUGCCAAGACAGUGGGGAUAGCGUAUGUGCUUAGCCAAACUGGGGGUUCAGGGCUGAUUUGGCCCCUACCAAUUGUUGAAACCAAACCAACACCCUUGCCACUUCUCCACCGUCUCUUCUCAUUCCUGCAGCUCUCCAUAGACUCUGUCGAAACUGCACAAUCAUGGAGAGCAUAAGUCAAGCAGAUAAUGACAAGUCAAUCAUUAAGUGGCAAACUGAAAAUCUGUGAAUUCUACAAUAAGAACAGCCAUAUUUCGGCCAGCAAGGACUGCAGAUCUGCUGAUUCAAAGUUGUGUGUCCCAAGUUAUUACAAGCUUUGCAUUUUGGCUCUGAUUACCUGAUAAAAAACCACUGAAACAUGGUAAAAUGCAGAAGACACGUUUCUCUUCCAUCUGGAGAUUGAACCUUGACAGUAACAAAGGAAUUAAAGAAAAACAGAAUUCUUCCCAAAAACAGAAACGUGAAAGUGUUUGAAAUGUUCC